GAUGAAGAACGCAGCGAAAUGCGAUAAGUAAUGUGAAUUGCAGAAUUCAGUGAGUCAUCGAAUCUUUGAACGCACAUUGCGCCCGCCAGUAUUCUGGCGGGCAUGCCUGUUCGAGCGUCAUUACAACCCUCAGGCCCCCGGGCCUGGCGUUGGGGAUCGGCGGAGCCCCCCGUGGGCACACGCCGUCCCCCAAAUGCAGUGGCGGUCCCGCCGCAGCUUCCAUCGCGUAGUAGCUAACACCUCGCGACUGGAGAGCGGCGCGGCCACGCCGUAAAACACCCAACUCUUCUGAAGUUGACCUCGAAUCAGGUAGGAAUACCCGCUGAACUUAAGCAUAUCAAUAAGCGGAGGA
rnacentral:misc_RNA from 1 species